rnacentral:rRNA from 1 species
AAGGUGGGGAUGACGUCAAGUCCUCAUGGCCCUUAUGGCUAGGGCUGCACACGUCCUACAAUGGCACGCACAAAGGGAUGCUAACUCGUGAGAGCACGCAAAUCCCAAAAAUCGUGCCCUAGUUCGGAUUGCAGGCUGCAACUCGCCUGCAUGAAGCUGGAAUCGCUAGUAAUCCCGGAUCAGCAUGCCGGGGUGAAUACGUUCCCGGGCCUUGUACACACCGCCCGUCACACCACGAAAGUUGGCUGCUCCAGAA